rnacentral:rRNA from 1 species
AGAAUCAACGCUGGCGGCGUGCCUAACACAUGCAAGUCGAACGAGAAAGUGGAGCAAUCCAUGAGUAAAGUGGCGCACGGGUGAGUAACACGUGACUAACCUACCCUUGAGUGGGGGAUAACCUAGAGAAAUCUGGGCUAAUACCGCAUAAUACCUUCGGGUCAAAGGAGCAAUUCGCUUAAGGAGGGGGUCGCGGCCGAUUAGUUAGUUGGCGGGGUAAUGGCCCACCAAGACUGUGAUCGGUAUCCGGCCUGAGAGGGCGCACGGACACACUGGAACUGAAACACGGUCCAGACUCCUACGGGAGGCAGCAGUGGGAAUUUUGCGCAAUGGGGGAAACCCUGACGCAGCAACGCCGCGUGGAGGAUGAAGCCCCUUGGGGCGUAAACUCCUUUCGAUCGGGAAGAUAAUGACGGUACCGAGAGAAGAGCCCCGGCUAACUUCGCGCCAGCAGCCGC